rnacentral:ncRNA from 1 species
UUAUGGUGCCGAGGAGGCUUAAUAGGGAAUCGGGUGAAAAUCCCGGACAGUUCCCGCUGCUGUAAGCUCUUAAAAUCUGCCAGAAUGCCACUGAAAACAGGCGUUUCGGGAAGGCGGCAGACCUGAAGGAGUGAGUCAGAAGACCUGCCACAAAUCGU